rnacentral:rRNA from 1 species
CAAUAGCGUGUAUUAAAGUUGUUGCAGUUAAAAAGCUCGUAGUUGGAUUUCUGGUGGGAGCGAUCGGUCUGGCGCUUAGCGCGAGUACUUGCAUCGUCUCCGGCCAUCCUUGGGGAGAGUCUGUCUGGCAUUAGGUUGUCGGGCAGAGGAUCCUCAUCGUUUACUGUGAAAAAAUUAGAGUGUUCAAAGCAGGCUUAUGCCGUUGAAUAUAUUAGCAUGGAAUAAUAAGAUAGGACUUUGGUACUAUUUUGUUGGUUUGCGCACCAAAGUAAUGAUUAAUAGGGACAGUUGGGGGCAUUCGUAUUCCGUUGUCAGAGGUGAAAUUCUUGGAUUUACGGAAGACGAACUACUGCGAAAGCAUUUACCAAGGAUGUUUUCAUUG